UAAAAGUUUUAGUGGUGAUGUAGUGAAUUUUUCGGGUUUCGUAAUCGUUUUUAAUGAUUUUUGGACUCGAAAUAAGAAUAUUAUCAAUAACUUUACAAUCCAGUCAUUAAAUAUUGAGAGAUUUAUGUAAAAGAUGCUCAGUUUUGGUUAAGAAGGGAGAUGCUGAUAAGUGAUUCACCCCAAAGAUGAUCCACGAAGCGCAUGUCAAAACAUUUAAAGUGGUUAGAGUGGCUUUGGGGAAUCCUUUGUCAAAGC